rnacentral:lncRNA from 1 species
AGCCAUCUGAUUCCAGCCAAAUCAGCACUAUUGGAGUUCAGAAGCGGAAUCCUAGAUCAAGUUCUCCUCCAUCUGAUUCCAGCCAAACCAGUACUAUUGGAGUUCAGAAGCGGAAUCCUAGAUCAAGUUCGCCUCCAUCUGAUUCCAGCCAAAUCAGCACUAUUGGAGUUCAGAAGCGGAAUCCUAGAUCAAGUUCGCCUCCAUCUGAUUCCAAGGAAAUCAGCAGCAUUAGGAUUCAGAAGCACAGUUCUCCAGCAACUUUGCCUCCAUCUGAAUCCAAGGAAAUUAGCACUAUU